rnacentral:rRNA from 1 species
GGGUCAGUAGGUUGGUCGUGCCACCGGUACGUACUGGUCUCACUGAUUCCUCCUUCCUGAAGAACCGUAAUGCCAUUAAUUUGGUGUUGCGGGGAAACAGGACUGUUACUUUGAAAAAAUUAGAGUGUUUAAAGCAAGCUAACGCUUGAAUACAUUAGCAUGGAAUAGUGAAAUAGGACGAUCGAUCCUAUUUUGUUGAUUUCUAGGAUUGACGUA